rnacentral:rRNA from 1 species
UACGUAGGGCGCGAGCGUUGUCCGGAAUUAUUGGGCGUAAAGAGCUCGUAGGCGGCUUGUCACGUCGGGUGUGAAAGACCGGGGCUUAACUCCGGUUCUGCAUUCGAUACGGGCUAGCUAGAGUGUGGUAGGGGAGAUCGGAAUUCCUGGUGUAGCGGUGAAAUGCGCAGAUAUCAGGAGGAACACCGGUGGCGAAGGCGGGUCUCUGGGCCGAUAUUGACGCUGAGGAGCGAAAGCGUGGGGAGCGAACAGG